rnacentral:rRNA from 1 species
AACCCGGUGAUCUAGCCAUGGGCAGGUUGAAGGUUGGGUAACACUAACUGGAGGACCGAACCGACUAAUGUUGAAAAAUUAGCGGAUGACUUGUGGCUGGGGGUGAAAGGCCAAUCAAACCGGGAGAUAGCUGGUUCUCCCCGAAAGCUAUUUAGGUAGCGCCUCGUGAACUCAUCUUCGGGGGUAGAGCACUGUUUCGACUAGGGGGUCAUCCCGACUUACCAACUCGAUGCAAACUACGAAUACCGAAGAAUGUUAUCACGGGAGACACACGGCGGGUGCUAACGUUCGUCGUGAAGAGGGAAACAACCCAGACCGCCAGCUAAGGUCCCAAAGUCAUAGUUAAGUGGGAAACGAAGUGGGAAGGCUCAGACAGCCAGGAUGUUGGCUUAGAAGCAGCCAUCAUUUAAAGAAAGCGUAAUAGCUCACUGGUCGAGUCGGCCUGCGCGGAAGAUGUAACGGGGCUAAACUAUGCACCGAAGCUGCGGCAGCGAUAUGUAAAUAUUGUUGGGUAGGGGAGCGUUCUGUAAGCCUGUGAAGGUGUGCUGUGAGGCAUGCUGGAGGUAUCAGAAGUGCGAAUGCUGACAUAAGUAACGAUAAUGCGGGUGAAAAACCCGCACGCCGGAAGACCAAGGGUUCCUGUCCAACGUUAAUCGGGGCAGGGUGAGUCGACCCCUAAGGCGAGGCAGAAAUGCGUAGUCGAUGGGAAACGGGUUAAUAUUCCCGUACUGGUGAUAAUUGCGAUGGGGGGACGGAGAAGGCUAGGCUAUCCGGGCGACGGUUGUCCCGGUUUAAGGAUGUAGGCAGGUGAA